UACGUAGGGACCAAGCGUUGUUCGGAUUUACUGGGCGUAAAGGGCGCGUAGGCGGCGUGUUAAGUCACUUGUGAAAUCUCUAAGCUUAACUUAGAACGGUCAAGUGAUACUGAUGUGCUAGAGUGCAGAAGGGGCAACCGGAAUUCUUGGUGUAGCGGUGAAAUGCGUAGAUAUAGGGGAGAACACUCGUGGCGAAGGCGGCCAGCUGGACCAGUCCUGACGCUGAGGCGCGACAGCGUGGGGAGCAAACAGG
rnacentral:rRNA from 1 species